rnacentral:pre_miRNA from 1 species
GGCAUGGAAUCAUGUGGCAUUCAUGAGACUACCUUCAACAGCAUCAUGAAGUGUGAUGUGGAUAUUCGUAAGGAUCUGUACGCC